rnacentral:rRNA from 1 species
AAGACCCCGUGCACCUUUACUACAACUUUGCAGUGGCAUUAGCGUCACCAUGUGUAGCAUAGGCGGGAGGCUUUGAAGCGGAGGCGCCAGCUUUCGUGGAGCCGCAAUGUGAAAUACCGCCCUUGUUGUCGCUGAUGUCUAACCGCGGUCCAUGAACCUGGAUCCGGGACCCUGCAUGGUGGGUAGUUUGACUGGGGCGGGCGCCUCCUAAAAGGGAACGGAGGCGUACAAAGGU